rnacentral:rRNA from 1 species
AUACGGAGGAUGCGAGCGUUAUCCGGAUUUAUUGGGUUUAAAGGGUGCGUAGGCGGGCUGUUAAGCGUGAGGUGAAAGCUCGGGGCUCAACCCCGGAACUGCCUCGCGAACUGGCGGUCUUGAAUGGCCGUGCCGUGGGAGGAAUGGGUGGUGUAGCGGUGAAAUGCAUAGAGAUCACACAGAACACCGAUUGCGAAGGCAUCUCACGAACGGAUGAUUGACGCUGAGGCACGAAAGCGUGGGGAUCAAACAGGAUUAGAUACCCUGGUAGUCCACGCGGUAAACGAUGAAUACUAGCCCUGCGGCGCGAAUGGGUGCUGCGGGGCAGAGUGAAAACGUUAAGUAUUCCACCUGGGGAGUACGCCGGCAACGGUGAAACUCAAAUGAAUUGGCGGGG